rnacentral:rRNA from 1 species
UACGUAGGAGACGAGCGUUGUCCGGAGUUACUGGGCGUAAAGGGUGCGUAGGCGGCGCGACAAGUUGGGUGUGAAAUCCCUCGGCUCACCGAGGAACUGCGCCCAAAACUGUCGUGCUCGAGGGAGACAGAGGUGAGCGGAACUUAGGGUGGAGCGGUGAAAUGCGUUGAUAUCCUAAGGAACACCGGUGGCGAAAGCGGCUCACUGGGUCUCUGCUGACGCUGAGGCACGAAAGCUAGGGUAGCGAACGGGAUAGAUACCCCA